rnacentral:hammerhead_ribozyme from 1 species
ACACUGCUGACGACUCCUAAACAGGACGAAACAGCUGUCCAGUAC